GUGAAAAAAUUAGAGUGUCCAAAGCAGGCUUAUGCCGUUGAAUAUAUUAGCAUGGAAUAAUAAUAUAGGACCUGGGUACUAUUUUGUUGGUUUGCGCACCGAGGUAAUGAUUAAUAGGGACAGUUGGGGGGAUACGUAUUCCCCUGUCAGAGGUGAAA
rnacentral:rRNA from 1 species